UGUGUGCUCCCUGAAACUUGGCUUUUGCUGUACUCUUUAAAAUCGCAGUCCUGACUAACUGCAUUCCAUGCCUAAAGAAGAGCUCUGACUGCAGGAGCUUGUAACAGAAGAGGAUUUUUUCUGUCUCUUUACCAAACUUCUGCUGCUUCGACUAACAGAAGACCAGUACCAGGGAUUGAACUCAGGACCUUGGUGCUUGUCA